rnacentral:rRNA from 1 species
CAGCCUCGGGCCCCACCCACGAUGCACACACGCCCAACCCACGCGCACACCCACCCACAUUGGAUCCAAUCUCUCUCGUCUUCCUCGAUCCCCUUUCUCCACCCCACGCCGCCGCUAGAUUUCGGCGAUCCCCGCCAUUCCCCACCGUCCAGCUCUCCUCCCCGAGGUCACCUCUCCCUGCUCACCAUCUCCACCGACCGGUUUCUCUCCUCGCCCAGGAGAGUCCCGCCUCCUCGCCGCCAAGGCCGCCGCCGCCCGCCGCCUCGAGCGGCGCCGCCUCCUCCUCGAGCACCGCGCCAUAGACCUCGCCUCCCGCGCCCUCGCCGCCCGCGCUGACAUCAAUGCCACCCACGCGCGCCGCCUCGCCGUCGCCCGCGACAUCAGCUCGACCAACGGCGAGAUCGAGGACGCGCGGCAGAAGGCGGAGGAGUGGGACCGCUUCUAUGAGUCCAAGAGGAAGGAGAUGGAGGAGUUCCGACCGUCGUCUCCACAGCCUCCAUCCACCCCGGCCGCAGCCACUUCUCAACCCCACGAGCAGCCUCCUGGCCUAGUUCCUCAUCACCGUUCUCCUCCCGGUCCCUGUCCACCUCCGCCUCCACCUUGUGGUCCCAGAGGCGACGAUUCCCCGUCGCCUCGGCCGCCGUAGAGCUCUGCGAGGCCGCCGCGGGUGGUGGAGACUCCGUCCGCGUCAUCAAGACACCGCAGCCCAACUCAAGUGUUAAGUUUAGCGUGGAGGUGCCUCCCUUGAUAUGCCAGGAGUGCUACCAAACAACUCUUCUCGAGUACUCAAAGCGUUUUGAGUAAUCAUGAACUGCAGAUACAGAGUUCCGGGCGAUGUCACAGCGGGAGCUCGUCAGGAAGUGCAGAGGCUCAAGGCCUCUGUGUCUCACCUGCAGACAGCCCUGCAGGAGCUGCAGAGCAGCGGGUUGCACUCGGAAGACGCCGGGAUUGGGGCUGCGGAAGCUAGGAAGGCCGACCUCAUGGAUAAGAAGGCCAAGCUGGACGAGACCCUGGCUGCAGCCCGCCAGUUCAGAGCACUGCUUCGGCAGUAGCUCCAGAAAGCCUUCACGUCACAGGUUAGGGAUCAAAAGGCAGCACAGAACUGACUAGUUAUGUGGUACAAGCAAAACGACAUUCAUUAGCUAGCUCAUCAAUCGCUUCGGAUUAAGGAUGCAAUGCAAGUGUGGCGGGCUAGUGGACAGUAACAUAGUAGUACAAAUGUAGUGUUACUUUUAGGCAAAUGUUGAGCAAAUUUUGAACUAAUGGAUGAGUUUCAUGGGACGAAGCGGGCUGCCACUUGCACUCCUCCUACUGAUGAAACGAACUUCAAAUGACUCUACAUGCAGAUACAUGCUUUUUAUUUCAGUCUUGUUUAGAGGAGGCCCCGGUAGUGUCGAGCUGCUGUUGCUGCGGGCACAGCGACGUCGGCGUGGUCGGGAUGGUCGCAGCCCUUCAAAAUUCUCAACGGCGGCGUCUCGGCGCUGAUGGCAGAGUCGACGGCGAGCAUCGGCGGGUACAGAUGGAGUAGGAGGACGAGCAACAACAGCAAAUCAGCCUGAUGAUGACGGGGUGCGGAAGGCAAUGGUGAUCAUGCUGAUGGCAUGAAGAAGGCGAAUGACCACAACCUGGACCUUUUGGCAUUUAGAGAUGGCAAACACAGGCGGCGCGGAGACAACAACCUGGACCACCCACCCCCCUUGCCUUUUUAAUUUUGGUUGUGGUGGUUGCAUCACCGUCGCGGUCGCAAAUCAGUAUGUAGUGUGCUUGUGGAGUUGGGUCUGGACUGCAGUGUCCAUCCAGUAGGUUAGGUGUUGUUGCUACUAGAUCCCAUGAUGCUCACCUAAGUUUUGUGUUAUGUGGAGGCCAACCUUUGUGAUCUUAUUUGUCGACACUUGUGUGAUCUCGUCUUACUUUGUGAUACAAGUUGUA